rnacentral:rRNA from 1 species
CGGGUGAGUAAUGCGUGACCAACCUCGCCCCAUGCUCCAGAAUAGCUCUUGGAAACGGGUGGUAAUGCUGGAUGCUCCAACUUGACGCAUGUCUUGUUGGGAAAGUGUUUAGUGGCAUGGGAUGGGGUCGCGUCCUAUCAGCUUGUAGGCGGGGUAAUGGCCCACCUAGGCUUCGACGGGUAGCCGGCCUGAGAGGGCGGACGGCCACAUUGGGACUGAGAUACGGCCAGACUCCUACGGGAGGCAGCAGUG